GAUGAAGAACGUAGCGAAAUGCGAUAAGUAAUGUGAAUUGCAGAAUUCAGUGAAUCAUCGAAUCUUUGAACGCAUAUUGCGCUCUCUGGUAUUCCGGAGAGCAUGCUUGUUUGAGUAUCAGUAAACACCUCAACUUCCAUAUCUUUUUUGAAAUGGGAGUUGGACUUGAGUGAUCCCAACGCUUUUCCUCACCGAAAAGUGGCGGGUUACUUGAAAUGCAGGUGCAGCUGGACUUUUCUCUGAGCUAUAAGCAUAUCUAUUUAGUCUGCCUAAAAAACAGAUUAUUACCUUUGCUGCAGCUAACAUAAAGGAGAUUAGUUCUUGUGCUGACUGAUGCAGGAUUCACAAAGACAGGCUUCGGCCGACUUUGUAAACUCGAUCUCAAAUCAAGUAAGACUACCCGCUGAACUUAAGCAUAUCAAUAAGCGGAGGA
rnacentral:misc_RNA from 1 species